AAUCAACGCUGGCGGCGUGCCUCAGACAUGCAAGUCGAACGAUUAAGACUUCCUUCGGGCAGUGUAUAAAGUGGCGCACGGGUGAGUAACACGUAAGUAAUCUACCUUCGAGUGGGGAAUAACAUCGGGAAACCGAUGCUAAUACCGCAUAAUGCAGCGGCAUCGCAAGAUGACAGUUGUUAAAGGAGCAAUUCGCUUGAAGAGGAGCUUGCGGCAGAUUAGCUAGUUGGUAAGGUAAUGGCUUACCAAGGCUACGAUCUGUAUCCGGUCUAAGAGGACGGUCGGACACACUGGCACUGAAUAACGGGUCAGACUCCUACGGGAGGCAGCAGUCGGGAAUUUUGGGCAAUGGGCGAAAGCCUGACCCAGCAACGCCGCGUGAGGGAUGAAGUAUUUCGGUAUGUAAACCUCGAAAGAAUGGGAAGAAUAAAUGACGGUACCAUUUAUAAGCUCCGGCUAACUACGUGCAGCCGCCGCAGUAACAC
rnacentral:rRNA from 1 species